GAUAAACGCUGGCGGCGUGCCUAAUGCAUGCAAGUCGCACGGGGUGUCCCUUCGGGGGCAUCGAGUGGCGAACGGGUGAGGAACGCGUGGACAACCUACCCCGGCGUGGGGGAGUACCCGCCAGAAAUGGCGGCUAAUACCGCGUACGGUCGCCCGACGGAGGGUCGGGCGAAGAAAGCAGCGAUGCGCGCUGGGAGGGGUCUGCGGCCGGAUUAGCUUGUUGGCGGGGUGACGGCCCACCAAGGCGAGAUCGGUAGCUGGUCUGAGAGGAUGAUCAGCCACACGGGGACUGAGACACGGCCCCGACUCCUACGGGA
rnacentral:rRNA from 1 species